GGAAACGCGUAACCUAGAGUCCAAAAAUUAGGAGUUACUUUAGUACCUUACCUCUGUCAUUGAAAUAUUCAAAUUUAUUUUAUAUUCUUAAAGUUGGGACCAAAAUCCGUUGUUAAUAUGUAUAUGUAAAAAAAUUGGUCUUUCCAACAGCUGUAGAACUAAUAAACAUGCAGUGCAUGCUGACAUACACAGAAAAUAAUUAAUAGGGGAAAUAAUAGACAUUAAUGUUCUUGAUUAAUGACAAAAAUGAGAAGAAACAUUGAUUAAAUUCUAAAUGUGAUGGGUCAUGACUUGCCCUUUACAGCAUGUUAUGCUUCAUUAAAAAAAAAAAACUUGGGCACACUGCUCUAUUCUUUUCAUGAAUUCAGUAAACACAUAUGUUUGGGAUAUUCAUGGGUAAUGGAGCCUCUGCUAUUAUAAGUCUAAACUACAUCUCUCAUGUAGCUUUGAAUUUGGACAUCAGAACUCCUUUAUAUACAAUAGAAAAGAUAUAUAGCUGUUUAAUACUUGUUAUAAUCUGGCACAGAAAGAUUGUUACUGUUGUAAUUGGAAGACUUAUGCUCUGAUGUGUUCUUAUCCCAGUAUUGGCCAAUUCAUACUGAGAGCAAACUGCCAUCUGACCAGAGUUUUAGUUUUUCUUCUACUGGGACAUGUUUCCUCUCUGGGUUUAGAGCGAGGCAUUCAGUGGCACUCCACUCCUGAUCCUGACCAGCACUCUGUUCUGACCGCUGCAGAAGUCACAGUGCCUCCAUUCUGGGUGACAAUCCUGCUGAACUCUGACCCGAGUGGAAACCGCUGUGACAGAUGACCCGCUGGUGAGAGUGAAAGAUGAUCAAGGCUUCAUUUGAGUGUUUUAAAUACUGAAUUUGUUCUGUUUCUUACUCUGCAGACUCUUUAAAGACCUGUGAACACGAGAGGAUGUCUGUGCUCGCUGAAGUGGCCAUUCAGGGAUCAGAAGAGCGUUUUGUCCCAGAAUGCAGUGCAGAUGGGUGGUACAGAGCCGUUCAGGACACUGCUGGUGUGUGAGAGUGGACUCAGGAUGGCCCGUGCCGGGCACUUCAGCCAUAUAGAGAGAUUGUGUUUGUGUGUUAGUGAGUGUAGAAAACUGAAAACAUGAUUCUGUACUGUGUGGAGGAACCAAUUGCCUGACUGCAGCCCCCAGGAAACACACGCUCAUCAUCAACAACAACUGCUACACCCAAACCCCUCUCUCAGGUCAGAUCUCAGGCUGGAUGUGAUAAGUUGCACCCAGAAUGGGAAGAAUGUCAAAAGGUUGGGACAACAUGCCUUUACUCAUCUAAACCCAGACUAAGUUGUUCAUACCGGUGUUGUGUCAUAUAUAGGACAUACUUGUGUUUCUGGAAUAAAAAAGGUGAUUUAAAGGUAAUAUCUUAAACUCAGAAUUGCAAAAGUCUGAAUUGUAAGAUAAACCCAGCAUUGAGAGGGGAAAAAAAGUCUGAAUUGAGAUAAACUCAGAACUGAGAGGAAAAGAAGUCUAA
ensembl:lncRNA